rnacentral:rRNA from 1 species
GUGGGGAAUAUUGGACAAUGGGCGCAAGCCUGAUCCAGCCAUGCCGCGUGAGUGAUGAAGGCCUUAGGGUUGUAAAGCUCUUUCACCGAUGAAGAUAAUGACGGUAGUCGGAGAAGAAGCCCCGGCUAACUUCGUGCCAGCAGCCGCGGUAAUACGAAGGGGGCUAGCGUUGUUCGGAUUUACUGGGCGUAAAGCGCACGUAGGCGGUUUGUUAAGUCAGGGGUGAAAUCCCGGAGCUCAACUCCGGAACUGCCUUUGAUACUGGCAAGCUAGAGUCCGGAAGAGGUAAGUGGAACUCCUAGUGUAGAGGUGGAAUUCGUAGAUAUUAGGAAGAACACCAGUGGCGAAGGCGGCUUACUGGUCCGGAACUGACGCUGAGGUGCGAAAGCGUGGGGAGCAAACAGGAUUAGAAACCCUAGUAGUC